UCUCUUUUAGUUAUUUUACUAUUUUAUUUAGACUUAUACUAUUAUUGUUUCAUUUCAAACUACGAUUUAUAAGUUUGGAUUUCUACAUUUGGUUUAACUAUUUAAAUGAUUUCUGAUUGAUAAACUUGAAAUAGUUAAAGGUUGGACUUUUUUGAAAUGCUUUAAUGUAGCUCUUCAGACUUAGUGAACGUCUAGGCCGGGUAUAGGGUGUUACAGAAUUGAUGUAAUUAAGAAUGAUUAUUGAGACGGGGACUAAAUUGAAUAGAAUAAAAGUUUUACGAUUUGAUUGAUAUUUGAUAAUUAGUUUGAAAUUGAGCUGAAGCAUGUUGUGUUAUAUGAUAAAUUAAUGAUUGAUGAUAAAUUAAGAUUGAAAGAAUGUAAAUUGAUCUACAUUUGUAAUGAACUGAAAAUUGGUUACCCUAGUAGUUGUUUGGACCGAGUCGGAUAUAGUUGGCUUGCCAUUUGUUCAAAAUUGUAACGACCCGAAAGCCAGUUGUGUCGGAAGUGAAGGUUUUGGAACCCUAUUUUUUUAGGUUUAAGCUCAUAAAUAUUAGCGAGGAAAUGCAUAGAGAUCAGAAAGAACACCAACGGCAAAAGCACUUUACUGGGCCGGCACUAACACUGAAAGACGAAAGCUAUGGGAGCGAAUGGGAUUAGAUACCCAGUAUUCCUAGCCAGAAAUAAUGAAUACUAGGUGUUGUGUGUAUCGACCUGUGCACUGCUAUAGCUAGCGCAUUAAGCAUCUAGCCUGGGGUGUACAUUCACAAGAAUAAAACUCAAAAGAAUUGACGGUGGCCAACACAAGCGGUGGAGCAUGUGGUUUAAUUUGAUGCAAAGUGAAGAACCUUACUAGGGCUUAACAUGCCGCGAAUCCUUUUGAAAGGGAGGGGUGCCUUAUCGAAUAUGGACACAUGUGGUGCAUGGCUGUUGUUAGCUUGUGUCGUAAGUUGUUGGAUUAAGUCCCGCAAUGAGCGCAACCCUCAUGUUUAGUUGCCACUGUUGAGUAUGGAACCCUUAACAGACUAGCGGUGAUAAGCCGGAGGAAGGUGAGGAUGACAUUAAGUCAUCAUGCCCCUUAUGCCCUGGAGGACACAUGUGUUACAAUGGAUGGGAUAAAGGGUCAUGAUCCCACGAGGGUGAGCUAACUCCAAAAACCCAUUCUCAGUUUAGAUUGCAGGCUGUAACUUGCCCGCAUGAAGCCAGAAUCGUUAGUAAUCGCCAGCCAGCCAUACAACGGUGAAUUCAUUCCCAGGCCUGAUACACACCGCCUGUCACACUAUGGAAACUAGCCAUGCCAGAAGUUGUUACUUUAACCACAGAAAAGGGAUACCGAAGACAGGGCUAAUGACUGGAGUGAAGUCGUAACAAGGUAGUCGUACUAGAAGGUGCAGCAG
rnacentral:rRNA from 1 species